rnacentral:rRNA from 1 species
CUCUAAGUUGACUGCCGGUGACAAACCGGAGGAAGGUGGGGAUGACGUCAAAUCAUCAUGCCCCUUAUGAUUUGGGCUACACACGUGCUACAAUGGACAAUACAAAGGGCAGCGAAACCGCGAGGUCAAGCAAAUCCCAUAAAGUUGUUCUCAGUUCGGAUUGUAGUCUGCAACUCGACUACAUGAAGCUGGAAUCGCUAGUAAUCGUAGAUCAGCAUGCUACGGUGAAUACGUUCCCGGGUCUUGUACACACCGCCCGUCACACCACGAGAGUUUGUAACACCCGAAGCCGGUGGAGUAACCUUUUAGGAGCUAGCCGUCGAAGGUGGGACAAAUGAUUGGGGUGAAGUCGUAACAAGGUAGCCGUAUCGGAAGGUGCGGCUGGAUCACCUCCUUUCUAAGGA